rnacentral:rRNA from 1 species
GACGAACGCUGGCGGCGUGCUUAACACAUGCAAGUCGAACGGAAAGGCCCUGCUUUUGUGGGCUGCCCGAGUGGCGAACGGGUGAGUAAAACGUGAGUAACCUGCUCUUGACUUUGGGAUAACUUCAGGAAACGGGGGCUAAUACCGGAUAGGAUCUCCUGCUGCAGGGUGGGGGUUGGAAAGUUUCGGCGGGUGGGGUUGGACUCGCGGCUGAUCGGCUUGUUGGUGGGGUAGUGGCAGACCAAGGGUUUGACGGGUAGCCGGCAUGAGAAGGUGACCGGGCACCAUGCGCCUGAGAUACGGACCAGUGUCCAACAGGAGGCAACAGUCGGGAAUCUGAUCCAGUCGUCGGACGCCGGUUAAAACAACCCCGCGUUUGGGAAGACGGCCUGCGGGUAAAAAACCGCAUUCGCCUGUGACGAAGCUUUUGUGACGGUACUGAAUGAAGAAGCACCGGCUAACUACGUG